GCAGUGGUGGUUUAGUGGUAGAAUUCUCACUUUCCAUGUGAGAGGUCUGGGUUCUAUUCCCAGCCACUGCA